GAGCUGGACGGGGAGCCAAAAAAUACAAGCAUCUCUGUCUUUUCCUUUAACUGCGGGGUAAACUUGAGUAUUUUCUCAACUUCUCUGAGCCCCCACUUCUCCAUCUGUCAUGACCUUAUCAAUUUCAACAUAUCUGUGGAUCUAUGAUCCCUUCCUCCUAUUGUGGAAAGAAGAAAAGCAUCUUUUAAGAAGAUGUCAACAUUUUUUUGCCUUCAAAGCAAGGAGAUAAAGUCUCGCAGGGAUGACAAGAGAAAGAAGACAGAAUUAGGUCAAUUCCUCUUGAUGGCAGGACUCCUAACAAGUGACAAAACAAAUGAGUGGCUUGGAAGUGUAGCAGCUGCCUUGUGACUGAGAGUGAGAAAAUCAAAUGCUGAAGAUGAUAGAGCAAAAAGAGAAAAGGUAUCUGAACCAGCCUUGGAACACGUUACCAAUUUAGUUUCCUGCAUGAGAAAAGUCAAUCUCUUGCAAGUUUCAUGCAGCUAUAUAAAAUUCUACUAACUCCAGCAUUUGUGGAGGGAAAAAUAAU
rnacentral:lncRNA from 12 species